rnacentral:rRNA from 1 species
AUGAACGCUGGCGGCGUGCCUAAUCCCUGCAAGUCGAGCGAACAGAUAAGGAGCUUGCUCCUUUGACGUUAGCGGCGGACGGGUGAGUAACACGUGGGUAACCUACCUAUAAGACUGGGAUAACUUCGGGAAACCGGAGCUAAUACCGGAUAACAUUUGGAACCGCAUGGUUCUAAAGUGAAAGAUGGUUUUGCUAUCACUUAUAGAUGGACCCGCGCCGUAUUAGCUAGUUGGUAAGGUAACGGCUUACCAAGGCAACGAUACGUAGCCGACCUGAGAGGGUGAUCGGCCACACUGGAACUGAGACACGGUCCAGACUCCUACGGGAGGCAGCAGUAGGGAAUCUUCCGCAAUGGGCGAAAGCCUGACGGAGCAACGCCGCGUGAGUGAUGAAGGGUUUCGGCUCGUAAAACUCUGUUAUUAGGGAAGAACAAACGUGUAAGUAACUGUGCACGUCUUGACGGUACCUAAUCAGAAAGCCACGGCUAACUACGUG